CCGCGGGAUUAGAGUUUGAUCCUGGCUCAGAGCGAACGCUGGCGGCGUGCUUAACACAUGCAAGUCGAACGCGCAGCAUUCUGUAGCAAUACAGGAUGUGGGCGCGUGGCGAACGGGUGCGUAACACGUGGAUAACCUUCCUUCAGGUGGGGAAUAACCCAGCGAAAGUUGGGCUAAUACCGCAUAACAUGACGAUGCCACAUGGUGUUGUCUUCAAAGGCGCAAGUCGCCAGAAGAGGGAUCCGCGGCCGAUUAGCUUGUUGGCGAGGUAAUGGCUCACCAAGGCAUUGAUCGGUAGCCGGACUGAGAGGUUGGCCGGCCACACUGGAACUGAGACACGGUCCAGACUCCUACGGGAGGCAGCAGUGGGGAAUCUUGCACAAUGGACGAAAGUCUGAUGCAGCAACGCCGCGUGGGGGAUGAAGCUUCUCGGAGUGUAAACCCCUUUCGACCCGGACGAAUGCCCGCAAGGGUUUGACGGUACGGGUAUAAGAAGCCCCGGCUAACUACGUGCCAGCAGCCGCGGUAAUACGUAGGGGGCCAGCGUUGCUCGGAAUUACUGGGCGUAAAGGGUCCGUAGGCGGUGCGGCAAGUCGAUAGUGAAAUCCCUGGGCUUAACCCAGGGGCUGCUAACGAAACUGCCGUGCUCGAGUGUGAGAGAGGCGAGUGGAAUUGCGGGUGUAGCGGUGAAAUGCGUAGAUAUCCGCAGGAACAUCCGAGGCGAAGGCGGCUCGCUGGAUCACAACUGACGCUGAGGGACGAAAGCUAGGGGAGCAAACAGGAUUAGAUACCCUGGUAGUCCUAGCCCUAAACCAUCAUGACUUGGGGUUUGCCCUGUA
rnacentral:rRNA from 1 species